GGGGUUGUAGCUCAAUGGUAGAGCAAGUACUUGCCUCACAUGUAUGAGGCACUAGGUUCAAUCCUUAGCACCACA
rnacentral:tRNA from 1 species